AGCCAAAAUUCUGUCUCAUGCCAAGAAAGAAUAUCAAGGAAAUUGAAAGUGCUGAAUACAAUUUCAGAGAAAUAUGUUACCUGAAAUUUCAGAGACCUGCUACCACACAUAUCGAGUGGUGCACCUGCUAAUACUUCCACAUCUCCACUAGUGAAUCCAGAAAAUCAUGUCUCCUGAAAUAAAUAUGCUGCUCCUUUAUUCAGCUUGUUGAAAUGAUUUAUGACUGAAGGAUAAAAGAGUAACAACAAAAUGAAGAAAUACUAUAGAAGCCCCAGGAAACAGUAAAAGCUUCACACUGGCAGGUUUCUAUAGCCUCCCAUUUGUGUAAACCACUAAGCAGCAUAUAAAGACUGAAAUUACUGUAAGUGAAAAAGGGAGAAGGAAAAUAGUAUGCUGAAGAUGAAAAGUGAAUCUGGCCUGGACCUGCAAGCUGUGGCAAUAAGGCAGAUACCAAACCACAGGAUGUUUUUAGGAAUUCUGACCCUGGCUUAAUCCAUACAUUUUGGGUGAGAAUGAAAUGUGCCUCCGGCCAUCUGCCUUAUCUCCGGGUGUGGAAAAAGAGGCGCAGAGAUCUAACUGCCAUGGAAGCGGUGCCUUAUCGCUCCAUUCCCACAACAUUUUCAGACCGGAUGGACAGUUGGGGUGGGGUUUACAUUGACUCUUUUGAUUUAUUAAUUCGUGGGGGAAACCUUCGGAUCCUGCCUUCUACUAUGCU